UCUAAAACUUGAGAUAUGGGCCGAACACUGAACAGUGUCUGGGCUGCAGGAUAGAUUUCGACUUCUCUGUUAUUGCUACAAUUUAAACUUGAAUACAGCCUUUUUAAAUCUUGGACUCUUCAUGAAAGUUUUAGGCCUAUUUCUUAGCUUUUCAUC
rnacentral:pre_miRNA from 1 species